rnacentral:rRNA from 1 species
UACGGAGGGGGCUAGCGUUGUUCGGAAUUACUGGGCGUAAAGCGCGCGUAGGCGGACCUGCAAGUCGGGGGUGAAAGCCCGAGGCUCAACCUCGGAACUGCCUUCGAUACUGCGGGUCUCGAGUCCGGGAGAGGUGAGUGGAAUUCCUAGUGUAGAGGUGAAAUGCGCAGAUAUCAGGAAGAACACCAAUGGCGAAAGCAGCUCUCUGGGACGGUACUGACGCUGAGACGCGAAAGCGUGGGGAGCGAACAGG